rnacentral:rRNA from 1 species
UWACCAUGCACUCGAGCGGUACACAGGGGAGCUUGCUCCCCGGGUGACGAGCGGCGGACGGGUGAGUAAUGUCUGGGAAACUGCCUGAUGGAGGGGGAUAACUACUGGAAACGGUAGCUAAUACCGCAUAACGUCGCAAGACCAAAGAGGGGGACCUUCGGGCCUCUUGCCAUCAGAUGUGCCCAGAUGGGAUUAGCUUAGUAGGUGGGGGUAAUGGCUUCACCCUAGGCGACGAUCCCUAGCUGGUCUUGAGAGGAUGGACCAGCCCACACUGGGAACUUGAAAACACGGGUUCCAAAACUUCCCUUACGGGGAAGGCCARCCAAUGGGGGGAAAUAAUUGCCACCAAUGGGGGCGCCCAAAGCCCUUGGAUUGCCAAACCCCAUUGSC